GCCGCUGUGGACCAUGGUGGUCGCCCUCACCCACUCCGAUGAAACUCUUCAAUUAUUAACGAGGGAGGUGGAGGUUCGAUUCCUCCCGGUGGCA